rnacentral:rRNA from 1 species
CUACGGGAGGCAGCAGUGGGGAAUCUUCCGCAAUGGACGAAAGUCUGACGGAGCAACGCCGCGUGUAUGACGAAGGCCUUCGGGUUGUAAAGUACUGUCUUCAGGGACGAACGGCAUCUAUGCGAAUAGUGUGGGUGCAUGACGGUACCUGAGGAGGAAGCCCCGGCUAACUACGUGCCAGCAGCCGCGGUAAUACGUAGGGGGCAAGCGUUGUCCGGAAUCAUUGGGCGUAAAGGGCGCGUAGGCGGAUAUUUAAGUCUGGUGUGAAAUUUAGAGGCUCAACCUCUAAUCUGCAUCGGAAACUGGAUAUCUUGAGGACAGGAGAGGAAAGUGGAAUUCCACGUGUAGCGGUGAAAUGCGUAGAGAUGUGGAGGAACACCAGUGGCGAAGGCGACUUUCUGGACUGUAACUGACGCUGAGGCGCGAAAGCGUGGGGAGCAAACAGGAUUAGAUACCCUGGUAGG